rnacentral:rRNA from 1 species
UACGUAGGGUGCAAGCGUUAAUCGGAAUUACUGGGCGUAAAGCGUGCGCAGGCGGUUUUGUAAGACAGAGGGGAAAUCCCCGGGCUCAACCUGGGAACUGCCUUUGUGACUGGCGUGCUGGAGUAUGGCAGAGGGGGGUAGAAUUCCACGUGUAGCAGUGAAAUGCGUAGAGAUGUGGAGGAAUACCGAUGGCGAAGGCAGCCCCCUGGGCCAAUACUGACGCUCAUGCACGAAAGCGUGGGGAGCAAACAGG